rnacentral:rRNA from 1 species
UACGUAGGGGGCAAGCGUUGUCCGGAUUUACUGGGCGUAAAGCGUGCGCAGGCGGUUCGUUAAGUCAGAUGUGAAAGCCCCGGGCUCAACCUGGGAACUGCAUUUGAAACUGGCGGGCUUGAGUGCGGCAGAGGGGGGUGGAAUUCCGCGUGUAGCAGUGAAAUGCGUAGAGAUGCGGAGGAACACCGAUGGCGAAGGCAGCCCCCUGGGCCAACACUGACGCUCAGGCACGAAAGCGUGGGGAGCAAACAGG